rnacentral:rRNA from 1 species
AAGAGCUCUUUCUUGAUUCUGNGGGNGGUGGUGCAUGNCCGUUCUUAGUUGGUGGGUUNCCUUGUCAGGUUGAUUCCGGUAACGAACGAGACCUCAGCCUGCUAAAUAGUCACGGCUACUUUUUUGUAGCCGUCCGACUUCUUAGAGGGACUAUUGUCGUUUAGGCAAUGGAAGUGUGAGGCAAUAACAGGUCUGUGAUGCCCUUAGAUGUUCUGGGCCGCACGCGCGCUACACUGUUGCAUUCAACGAGCCUAUCCUUGACCGAGAGGUCCGGGUAAUCUUUGAAACUGCAACGUGAUGGGGAUAGAUUAUUGCAAUUAUUAGUCUUCAACGAGGAAUGCCUAGUAAGCGCGAGUCAUCAGCUCGCGUUGAUUACGUCCCUGCCCUUUGUACACACCGCCCGUCGCUCCUACCGAUUGGGUGUGCUGGUGAAGUGUUCGGAUUGGUUUUAGUUGAUGGCAACAUUGGCUUUUACUGAGAAGAUCAUUAAACCCUCCCACCUAGAGGAAGGAGAAGUCGUAACAAGGU